AACGCUGGCGGCGUGCCUAACACAUGCAAGUCGAGCGGUAACAGGUGUAGCAAUACAUGCUGACGAGCGGCGAACGGGUGAGUAAUGCUUCGGAAUCUGCCCAAUGGUGGGGAAUAACCAGCCGAAAGGUUGGCUAAUACCGCAUAAGUCCUACGGGGGAAAGCAGGGGAUCGCAAGACCUUGCGCCGAUGGAUGAGCCGAAGUCGGAUUAGCUAGUUGGUAGGGUAACGGCCUACCAAGGCGACGAUCCGUAGCUGGUCUGAGAGGACGACCAGCCACACUGGGACUGAGACACGGCCCAGACUCCUACGGGAGGCAGCAGUGGGGAAUAUUGGACAAUGGGGGAAACCCUGAUCCAGCGACGCCGCGUGUGUGAAGAAGGCCUGCGGGUUGUAAAGCACUUUUAGUGGGGAUGAAAAGCUCAGGGCUAACACCUCUGGGUCUUGACCUAACCCAAAGAAAAAGCACCGGCUAACUCUGUGCCAGCAGCCGCGGUAAUACAGAGGGUGCGAGCGUUAAUCGGAAUUACUGGGCGUAAAGCGUGCGUA
rnacentral:rRNA from 1 species